AUUUAAAUAGUUUAAUAAAAAUAUUGAUUUGUGGUGUCAAUGAUAUGAAUAGGUAAUUCAUUUUAGAUC
rnacentral:tRNA from 1 species